rnacentral:rRNA from 1 species
UGGCGGACGGGUGAGUAACGCGUGGAAAACCUGCCGUAUACUGGGGGAUAACACUUAGAAAUAGGUGCUAAUACCGCAUAAGCGCACAGCUUCGCAUGAAGCGGUGUGAAAAACUCUGGUGGUAUACGAUGGUUCCGCGUCUGAUUAGCUAGUUGGUGGGGUAAUGGCCUACCAAGGCAACGAUCAGUAGCCGACCUGAGAGGGUGAACGGCCACAUUGGGACUGAGACACGGCCCAAACUCCUACGGGAGGCAGCAG